CUGAGUACUACACUCUCUACCCUUUGUGAACUAUUAUACCUGUUGCUUCGGCGGCGCCCGCAAGGUGCCCGCCGGUCUCAUCAGAAUCUCUGUUUUCGAACCCGACGAUACUUCUGAGUGUUCUUAGCGAACUGUCA
rnacentral:misc_RNA from 1 species